UACAGAGGGUGCAAGCGUUAAUCGGAAUUACUGUGCGUAAAGCGCGCGUAGGCGGUCGAGUAAGUCGGAUGUGAAAUCCCCGGGCUUAACCUGGGAAUUGCAUUCGAUACUGCUUGGCUAGAGUGUGGAAGAGGGAAGCGGAAUUUCCGGCGUAGCGGUGAAAUGCGUAGAUAUCGGAAGGAACACCAGUGGCGAAGGCGGCUUCCUGGUCCAACACUGACGCUGAGGCGCGAAAGCUAGGGGAGCAAACGGG
rnacentral:rRNA from 1 species